AUUUGUAUCAACCUUACAAAACAUACCUAACCAAAACAAUAUAAAAUCAAUUCACAAUUAAAUCCAAUUAACUUAGUACUAAGAAGGAAAUAAUAUUUAACAUAAAGUAGUGAUAUUUCACGUACCUUGUGCAUUAUGGUUUUACAAGUUAAAGUUUAAAAAUGCGUUCCCGAAUUCUACGCGAGCUGUUCACACAUAGCUAAGAGCUCACUACUAGUUGUGGCAUCAACUUUAGAAAAUAUGUGAACAGGGGCUACAUACCAGACGCGCUAGAACAUUGCUGGUUUUCAGUAAAAAUUAUAAAUUAGCCCAUGUAGUGACACUAUAGUGUAAGAUCUUAGAGGACAAGCCCUAAGAUCUUGAGCCAAUAUUCCAAUAACCUGCUUCUCAUAGGCCUAAUACCAGCCACCUUCAACACUUUACCGUACUUAACACACAAAUAUAUUUACAUAGUUGCCACAGAAAGCUGAAAUUUAGGAAACCCUUGUAAUCUUAUACUACUCUGUAAAAAUAAGUAUUGAUAAUACACCCUCAUUACCUUAUAAAUUUCAAUUACUUGCUCUACCUCCAAACACUUGUAAAGGAACUCGGCAAAUCAUUAUUUCGACUGUUUAUCAAAAACAUUGCUUCUUGUGCGUACAUAUGAAGUAAUUCCUGCCCAGUGAAUCACUUUUCAACGGCCGCGGUAUCCUAACCGUGCAAAGGUAGCAUAAUCACUUGCCCAUUAAUUGUGGGCUAGUAUGAAAGGACCAACGAAAUAAAAACUGUCUCUACAAGUUACAUAAAAAUUAGCCUCUAACUGAAGACUGUUAGAUGAAAUCGAAGGACAAGAAGACCCUAUAGAGCUUUAUUUUAAUAAAGUACCUUAAAUUUUAUAAAAUUCGGUUGGGGCGACCUGGGAAUUUACAUCAUCCCCCGGAAACAGAUAGAUGAAUCACUUUUUUGACCCUUAAUAAAGAUCCUUAGAUCAAGCUACCUUAGGGAUAACAGGCUAAUCCCACUAAAGAGUCCUUAUCAAUAGCGGGGCUUGGCACCUCGAUGUUGGCUUAGGGUAUCUAUGCGACGCAAAAGUCACAUAAAGAUGGUUUGUUCAACCAGUAAUACCCUACAUGAGCUGAGUUCAGACCGGCGUAAGCCAGGUUAGUUUCUAUCCUCGACAAUAACUACCUAUUUAUAGUACGAAAGGACCUGAACACGGGUAAUAAUUACAUCCAAAGAAUUCAUAUAACAAUACUUAAACUUAGCUUUUCAUGUAGUAUG
rnacentral:rRNA from 1 species